rnacentral:rRNA from 1 species
GAGUUUUGAUCCUGGCUCAGGAUGAAUGCUGGCGGCGUGCCUAAUACAUGCAAGUCGAGCGGUAACAGGAGUAGUUUACUACUUGCUGACGAGCGGCGGACGGCUGAGUAACGCGUGGGAAUCUGCCCCAAAGUGAGGAAUAACUGCCCGAAAGGGUGGCUAAUGCCGCAUAUGGUCUUCGGAUUAAAGCUUUCGAGCGCUUUGGGAGGAGCCCGCGUCGGAUUAGGUUGUUGGUGAGGUAAUGGCUCACCAAGCCUACGAUCCGUAACUGGUUUGAGAGGAUGAUCAGUCAGACUGGAACUGAGACACGGUCCAGACUCCUACGGGAGGCAGCAGUAAGGAAUCUUCCACAAUGGGCGAAAGCCUGAUGGAGCAACGCCGCGUGCAGGAUGAAGGCCUUCGGGUUGUAAACUGCUUUUAUGAGUGAAGAAUAUGACGGUAACUCAUGAAUAAGCACCGGCUAACUACGUG